GGGUGCGUAACGCGUAUGCAACCUACCCAUAACAGGGGGAUAACACUGAGAAAUUGGUACUAAUACCCCAUAACAUCAGGACCGGCAUCGGUUCUGGUUGAAAACUCCGGUGGUUAUGGAUGGGCAUGCGUUGUAUUAGCUGGUUGGUGAGGUAACGGCUCACCAAGGCAACGAUACAUAGGGGGACUGAGAGGUUAACCCCCCACAUUGGUACUGAGACACGGACCAAACUCCUACGGGAGGCAGCAGUGAGGAAUAUUGGUCAAUGGACGCAAGUCUGAACCAGCCAUGCCGCGUGCAGGAAGACGGCUCUAUGAGUUGUAAACUGCUUUUGUACGAGGGUAAACGCUCUUACGUGUAAGAGCCUGAAAGUAUCGUACGAAUAA
rnacentral:rRNA from 1 species